GGUCUUUUAGCUCAGCGGGAGAGCAGCUACCAGCGGGUAGUGCGUUAAAACCCUUAUUUUAAAGCGUUAACUUUUAAGUAUUGGGUUACUUUGCGCUGGUUCGAAUCCAGCAAAGGCCA